rnacentral:lncRNA from 1 species
CGCUGCAACAAGCUGGUAGAGAAAUUACAGAAGGCUCUUGACAAGCUACUUAAAGGAGAAACAACAGAAGAAACCAUUGAUCAUGUAAAUGCUCAAUAUCAUUAUGAUCUUAGAGUUAUGAGAACCAGCUCAAUAUAUAGAGCAAAUCUAUAUCAUAUUUAACAUACCCUUAAACUUUAUUUGCAUGUUUAGAACCUGCAAUUCUCGUUACUUCAGCAGAAAGCACAAUUUCAAGAGCUAGAGUAUCAUGGAAAAUAUGAAUUCAGAGAAUUUAGCAGAGAGGUACUAUUACUACUGUUAAGCUUAAAAAUCCCCCCGAAGAUUCAUCAAAGUUUACUUACUAGAACGAAUUCUGAAAUUUUGACUUACCAUAUAAAUAGCUAGACUGCAUUCGGAAAAAAAUGCCUAGAAGUGACCGCAGAAAAGCUGUACAUGAUCUCCUAAAAGAUGUUUGUAACCCCACAAGUCAUGACAGUUUGAGAAAAUCUGUGGAGCUGGAAAUAAAAGUAAGAUCUCUUAGCUUCUUUCAUUUGAGCACUAGUCAAUCUUACGUUAAACUAAACAAUGGGAUGUUGUUUGCAAAUUAACUAGGUUCUGAAGAAGCUGAUCAGAGCGCUUCAAAAAGACUGGGAAGAAAAACUACAUAUAAAGCAAAAUGCAAAGAAUAUAUAUAAAGAUUUCGAACAAAAGGUGAAGCAUCUAGAGAAGAAAAAGGAACAACUUGCGAGACAGCGGGACGAAGAAAGAAAAAUCAUGCUCGGGACGAAGAAAACGCAUGAUAGGAAGAUAGGUACAUAUCCUGAGGCUUAUUAUAUCAAGAUGUUGAAUGAUAAUUUACCAUGAUGGGUUGUAAUGAAUUAUUUUGGGGAUUGGAGUCUUUUCCUUUUCCUAAACCAUUCACCAAAUUUCACAUGCAUAGUUUAACUGCGACAUGUACACAUAAAAGAACUGUCUCAAGUUUCAACAGAGAUAUAUAAAUGAGGAAAAGAUGUUGUCACAGUUUGUAGCUUGGCUUGGAAAAUUGUUCUUUAGGAUUUGAACAAAAAAAAAGUGGCAAAAGACGGAUAAAGAGUACUAAGAAGAAAGCUAAAACGAGAUUAUACGAAAGUGACCACAAUAUAAUCUAAGGUCGAAGAUAAAGCUGAUGUAUGAAAAAAGGAAUCUAGAGAAGCACAUUAUCAGAGGAAGCCACCAACCUAAUUAACCAUGUCCACCAUAAUUUUCACUUGAGUCCUAGAGAUAUGUAAAAUUCACUGAGCAGCAAACGAGACUGCACAGAAAAAUCAUUGAUCAAAGCAUUUAUGUUCCAUCAAACAAAGAAAGGCUUAGCAAUCUUCAGCUAUUCCAAGUCAAAAAGCCUUAUAGCAUAAGAUUAAAGUAUUGAGACUAAAUUAGUGAAGUUAGACCAAGCCAAAAUGGAUAAUUAAAUUAAAUACAUACAAACUUAAUCAAUGAUCCAGUGACAAAAUAUAAUAAUAAUCUAAGGAAAAAGACAAUUAGCAAAGGUGUUUUCUAUCCAAGAAGGUAAACUUCCACGAAACAAUGGAACAAUCACUAUCCCUUGUUCCCUAAGCUUGAGUGCUUGACCCAAAACAUUUCAAGUCAUUUCACAAUAUAAAACAAUAAAACUGAAGAACUCAAAACCAAAGAAUCGUCAUAAAUAUCACAGAACCAGCUUUAGCCUCAAAGUCACUAACCUUUUGAAUGGCAGCAUCAUCAUCUUCUUCUCAAGUCAGAUUCAUAGAAAAAGCCCUUCUCGCCACCGGUUCAUUUGCUCUAUCCUACACAGAUCCUGAUCAAAAAUGGCUCAUCAGAAAGCACCUAACUUCACUACUCCAAGAUUAUCCAAACUUCGAGCUCUCAACCGAUAUUUUCAAUCACAACAACGGCGCCAAAGUUCAACUCUUUUGCCUUGAAGGAUCUCUAGGUAUUCGAAACUCCACUACACAACUCCCAGCCGUGCAAUUAACCAUUUGGAUUCACGAAAACUACCCAUUAACGCCUCCUCUGGUGUUUAUAAACCCUAAUUCAAUCCCAAUUCGCACCAACCACCCAUUCGUCAAUUCUUCAGGAUUCACAAACUCUAGAUACAUCGAAACAUGGGAACACCCACGAUGCAAUUUACUCGAUUUCAUUCGAAACCUCAAGAAAGUUCUCGCUAAUGAUCACCCAUUUCUACACACUGAAUCAAUCCCAACUCGGAAUCAAUCAGUUUCGAGAACCGAAGCCUUAGAUCGAUUAGCUACGAGUCUCCACUACGACGUUCUAACAAUCAUGGAGAGAUCAGAGGAAGAGAUUGAAAACCUAUGGAAACUUCAAUCAGAGGUGAAGCAAAGAUCUGAAUCGGUUAAAACAAUCAUCAAUGAGCUUGAGAUGG